rnacentral:rRNA from 1 species
UACGUAGGGGGCAAACGUUGCUCGGAAUCACUGGGCAUAAAGCGCACGUAGGUGGCUUGAUAAGUCUGAUGUGAAAUCCCCCGGCUCAACUGGGGAACUGCGUUGGAUACUGUCGAGCUUGAGGGUUGGAGGGGAGACUGGAACUCCUGGUGUAGCGGUGAAAUGCGUAGAUAUCAGGAGGAACACCGGUGGCGAAAGCGAGUCUCUAGACAACUUCUGACACUGAGGUGCGAAAGCUAGGGGAGCAAACGGG